UCCCUGGUAGUAUAUCGGUUAGUACACGCGCCUGUCAUCCCGAUAUCCACAUACGGUUGUCGGGCGAAAGCUGGGUUCGACUCCCAGCCAGGGAG